rnacentral:rRNA from 1 species
CGGGACGGGUGAGUAAUGUCGGGGAAAACGUCGCCGUGGAGGGGGAUAACUACGAGGAACGAGCUAAUACCGCAUAACGUCGCAAGACCAAAGAGGGGGACCUUCGGGCCUCUUGCCAUCGGAUGUGCCCAGAUGGGAUUAGCUAGUAGGUGGGGUAACGGCUCACCUAGGCGACGAUCCCUAGCUGGUCUGAGAGGAUGACCAGCCACACUGGAACUGAGACACGGUCCAG